GCCCGCGGCGGCUGAGAGCUUCGGGGCGGCCACUACAAAAUCGCCCUUCUCGGAUCCUCAGUGAUUAUUACCUGUGUAUUGCCGAUUCCCUCCAGUUUCUCACCGCUCGGCUGAUACACCUGAAACCGUUCGAGACGACGCCUGCGACUACAGUGCCUGAGAGUCCACUUUCUUUAUACUUUCACCAGCACUGGAUAGGGUAUGGCUCUCUUAUUCCACAGAAGUAAAUAAUUGCAUUUCUUCAGAUCAACUUGAAUCUAAACCUGAGCUCCCAUCCUGC